AGCUUUGCGCAGUGGCCAGUAUCGUAGCCAAUGAGGUUUAUACGAGGCGCGAUUAUUGCUAAAAGA
rnacentral:snRNA from 1 species